CUCGCUCUCUGGAGCUGUGAUCUUCUGGCUCAGACACAGGCAUGAAGGAGAGGCUCAGGUUACAGGUGAAGAAAUGGGACUUUCCAGUCUUGACUUUUUUUUGGGGAUAGAUCAUUCCAAAGGGCACUGAAAGCUCACUUCAACAAAAGAUGGCGGUUCACACCUAUAAUCCCUGCUGUUGGAAGCUGAGGCUGGAGGAUCUUUUGAGCUUGGACAUUGUGAGCUGCAGUGGGCUAUGCCAAUCAGAGGCAUCAGUUUUAUGUUUGGCAUUAAUAUGAGGAUUGUCUUGAGUAUAGCACAGUGUCCGCCUCAUCCUAUCUAGGAACUGUAAUCACUGCCUUAUAAGCACAUGGGAUAAGCUCGUCCCUGUAGCCAGAAGGAGAAGGAUCUUGAGAAUGGACUCUACCAGCCCCAGAAGUGGUAGCAGCCAGGGCCAUGAGAAAUUGCCCUGAAAUUGCCAAUGAGAAUACUCCCUGAAGAAGGAGCAGAGGAGGAGAGCUGUGGCUUGGGGAAGCAAGGGAUUGCACCUCUGUUCUAGACACUUGUUGCUAUCGCGUGAAAAGGAAUCUUUCUCAUUUGGGACUGAAGUAGAGAAGGUUGUUCAGUUGUACUUGAAAUCCAAGACCUCUCCUCUCAUACCACAUGGGGCAGGUAUAUACGGCUGGGCUUCAUCUUGAGGUAACACUGGCUAUUCCCAGGGGGAGGAGAGAAAUCUUCUUUCCUCUUUCCACUGGACUCCCAGAGAAAGGCAUAAGAGAACCAAGAGCAGGUAACAAGUGGUGCAUAUGACAGCAUGCCAUGGUCAUGUGAAAAUUGUGUCAGGAACGUAACGCUCAAGCUGAGGACACAGCAACCUGAGCAAAGCAAAAACAACAACAAGCCAUGGCAGAACUUGAAAUAAAAGGUAAAACAAAGGUUUUUUUUUUUUGGUUCAAUGGAAGCAGCCAUUGACUGCUUAGGGGAGUGCCUCUGUCACUCGCCUCCAAAUCUGGCUGGCAUCUCCUCAGUGCAGCUGUGCAACCUGAUGGGGAUAGUGGGGGUGUGUAGAGCUUCCUGGCAACACACUCAGGUUAGGGAGUAGGAGUCGUGAUCCUCUGUUGCCACCAGAUCUCCACCCUUUAUAACUUUCCCUCCCAGGGCUGGCUUUCUCUCAAGUUUCUCCUUUCUCAUACAGACCCAGGCAUGCUCAGGAUCAGGUCAUGUACUGAACCCAAAGAUAGAGGUGAGCUCAGAAAAUGACAAGGCAAGUUGAAUGGGCUACACCAAUGUCUAACACUUUGGAAGAACUUGGAUCUGUGACCUCACUGCUGCAUGUGCUUUUUCCAGCAAUACCCCCAGGCUAGCCCAUGGAGCGCAUCUCUUACUUGUGUCUUCCUGUUGUGGCUAAUGUUACAUCGAUAAUUGUUCAUUUGCCAGAUAAGAGAGACUGCUUGCUAGGCUAGGCACACUGGUUGUGUCUAUUUCCAUACUUGACUGAGCUGUUCAGAAGGGCAUGUUGUCCAUUGGAAAGUGCACCCUGAAGGAGGUUCUGCAUUUUGGGCUGAAGAAGGAAAUGGCUUGGGAAGAAGGACAGCCGUAAUCACUGAACUCAGCCUGAAAGCACAGAUGUGGGUGCCAGGGCAGCUGUGACUCCAGGGGGGGGAUUGUCUUUGAGAGGGGUAUGCCUCUCACAAGCACACUACAGUUUUACAGUGAAGUCCCACCCUCUGGCUGACCCCCGGUGUAGGUGAGUGUGAAGCUUGCUACUCUACUCUCGAAGACCUACAACUACAUCGACAACUGCAUUGAUACUGGGCUCAGAUGAAAUUCAGAAACCUCUGCAUCAGGAUCAAAAAGAA